rnacentral:rRNA from 1 species
UACGUAGGUGGCAAGCGUUGUCCGGAUUUACUGGGCGUAAAGGAUGCGUAGGCGGAUUUUUAAGUGGGAUGUGAAAUUCCGAGGCUCAACCUCGGCGCUGCAUUCCAAACUGGAAGUCUAGAGUGCGGGAGAGGAAAGUGGAAUUCCUAGUGUAGCGGUGAAAUGCGUAGAGAUUAGGAAGAACACCAGUGGCGAAGGCGACUUUCUGGACCGUAACUGACGCUGAUGCAUGAAAGCGUGGGGAGCAAACAGGAUUAGAUACCCUGGUAGUCCACGCCGUAAACGAUGGGUACUAGGUGUAGGAGGGUCCAACCUUCUGUGCCGCCGUUAACACAUUAAGUACCCCGCCUGGGGAGUACGGUCGCAAGAUUAAA